GUACUUGUAGCUCAGUGGUUAGAGCACUGGCCCCAUGCACCAGGGAUGGUAGGUUCGAACCCGGCCAGGGUCU
rnacentral:tRNA from 1 species